UCUAGAACUCGAGAUAUAGCGCUAAACACUGAAAAGUGUCUGGGCUGCAAGACAGAUUCAGACGUCUCUUUUGAUGCUAAGAUUUGAACUUGAAAACGAAAGAUUUGAAUCUUGGACGCUGCAUGAAAGUUUUAGGCAUAUGUCUUAGCUUUCCAUC
rfam:Populus trichocarpa scaffold_8_contig_218, whole genome shotgun sequence.